AAGCCAUGCAUGUCUAAGUAUAAGCAACUAUACUGUGAAACUGCGAAUGGCUCAUUAAAUCAGUUAUCGUUUAUUUGAUAGUACCUUACUACAUGGAUAACCGUGGUAAUUCUAGAGCUAAUACAUGCUAAAAACCUCGACUUCGGAAGGGGUGUAUUUAUUAGAUAAAAAACCAAUGCCCUUCGGGGCUCCCUGGUGAUUCAUAAUAACUUAACGAAUCGCAUGGCCUUGUGCCGGCGAUGGUUCAUUCAAAUUUCUGCCCUAUCAACUUUCGAUGGUAGGAUAGUGGCCUACCAUGGUUU
rnacentral:rRNA from 1 species